CAAUGAAAAAGGCAAAGCAUUCUGAAAAGAUGUGACGCAAAACUUCCGGUCUACGUCGAUGGAUAAGAUAGCGGGGUUACCGAA
rnacentral:ncRNA from 1 species